rnacentral:rRNA from 1 species
CGCGUAGGCGGCUUAGCAAGUCAGAUGUGAAAGCCCCGGGCUUAACUCGGGAAUUGCAUCUGAAACUGCUUUGCUUGAGUCCUGGAGGGGAUAGUGGAAUUCCCAGUGUAGCGGUGAAAUGCGUAGAUAUUGGGAGGAACACCUGCGGCGAAGGCGGCUAUCUGGACAGUGACUGACGCUGAGGCGCGAAAGCUAGGGGAGCGAACG